AGCAGCCGCGGUAAUUCCAGCUCCAAUAGCGUAUAUUAAAGUUGUUGCAGUUAAAAGCUCGUAGUUGAAUUUCGGAAUCAGUACAUUGGUCGUGCCUUCGGUAUGCACUGGCGUCACUGGUUUCUCCCUUCUGACGAACCGUGAUGUCAUUAAUUUGGUGUUGCGGGGAAUCAGGACUGUUACUUUGAAAAAUUAGAGUGUUUAAAGCAGGCUCACGCUUGAAUACAUUAGCAUGGAAUAAUGAAAUAGGACGUUUGAUUCUAUUUUGUUGGUUUCUAGGAUCGACGUAAUGAUUAAUAGGGAUAGUUGGGGGCAUUAGUGUUCAAUUGUCAGAGGUGAAAUUCUUGGAUUUAUUGAAGACUAACUACUGCGAAAGCAUUUGCCAAGGAUGUUUUCAUUAAUCAAGAACGAAAGUUAGGGGAUCGAAGACGAUCAGAUACCGUCGUAGUC
rnacentral:rRNA from 1 species